GAACCCAGAGCUGCAUCCUAAGCAAGCACUCUAUUCCUGAGCUUCACCUUUCAUUGGCGAGCUUACUGCUUACCUGACAGGCAUGUCCACACACACAUGCUCACACGUGUAUGAAUAUGCAUACACACAUGCAUGCAUAUCUCAGAUACAUACAUAUGAAAAAGCCCUGUUUAUAUUUGUUUGCAUUCUUUUUUAACAAUUGCAUUAAUUGUUUUUCUUUGUGAUGUAUGAUGCAUGUGUAUGGGCACAUGCGUGCUGUGGAGGUCAGAGAACAACCUUGUGGGGUCAGUACCUUCCUUCCACCUUUGUGUGGGGUCCAGGGGUUAAGCGCAGGUUGUCAGACUUGUGCGGUGAGUGCC
rnacentral:lncRNA from 1 species